rnacentral:rRNA from 1 species
GAUGAACGCUGGCGGCGUGCCUAAUACAUGCAAGUCGAGCGAAUGGAUUAAGAGCUUGCUCUUAUGAAGUUAGCGGCGGACGGGUGAGUAACACGUGGGUAACCUGCCCAUAAGACUGGGAUAACUCCGGGAAACAGGGGCUAAUACCGGAUAACAUUUUGAACCGCAUGGAUCGAAAUUGAAAGGCGGCUUCGGCUGUCACUUAUGGAUGGACCCGGGUCGCAUUAGCUAGUUGGUGCGGUAACGGCUCACCAAGGCAACGAUGCGUAGCCGACCUGAGAGGGUGAUCGGCCACACUGGGACUGAGACACGGCCCAGACUCCUACGGGAGGCAGCAGUAGGGAAUCUUCCGCAAUGGACGAAAGUCUGACGGAGCAACGCCGCGUGAGUGAUGAAGGCUUUCGGGUCGUAAAACUCUGUUGUUAGGGAAGAACAAGUGCUAGUUGAAUAAGCUGGCACCUUGACGGUACCUAACCAGAAAGCCACGGCUAACUACGUGCCAGCCGCCGCUGUAA